rnacentral:rRNA from 1 species
UGCGUAGGUGGCGAGCGUUGUCCGGAUUUAUUGGGCGUAAAGCGAGCGCAGGUGGUUUAUUAAGUCUGGUGUAAAAGGCAGUGGCUCAACCAUUGUAUGCAUUGGAAACUGGUAGACUUGAGUGCAGGAGAGGAGAGUGGAAUUCCAUGUGUAGCGGUGAAAUGCGUAGAUAUAUGGAGGAACACCGGUGGCGAAAGCGGCUCUCUGGCCUGUAACUGACACUGAGGCUCGAAAGCGUGGGGAGCAAACAGG